rnacentral:rRNA from 1 species
GGCCGGGAACCACCUGAUCCCAUCCCGAACUCAGAAGUGAAACCAGCCUGCGCCGAUGGUACUUUGUCUUAAGGCACGGGAGAGUAGGUCACCGCCGGGC